rnacentral:rRNA from 1 species
UGGGGAAUAUUGCACAAUGGGCGAAAGCCUGAUGCAGCAACGCCGCGUGAGUGAUGAAGGCCUUCGGGUUGUAAAGCUCUGUCUUUUGGGACGAUAAUGACGGUACCAAAGGAGGAAGCCACGGCUAACUACGUGCCAGCAGCCGCGGUAAUACGUAGGUGGCAAGCGUUGUCCGGAAUUACUGGGCGUAAAGAAUGCGUAGGUGGAUAUACAAGUCAGAUGUGAAAUACCCGGGCUCAACUUGGGUGCUGCAUUUGAAACUAUAUAUCUAGAGUGCAGGAGAGGAAAGCGGAAUUCCUAGUGUAGCGGUGAAAUGCGUAGAGAUGAGGAAGAACACCAGUGGCGAAGGCGGCUUUCUGGACUGUAACUGACACUGAGGCAUGAAAGCGUGGGGAGCAAACA